rnacentral:rRNA from 1 species
GGAGGUUGUGGCCUUGAGCCGUGGCUUUCGGAGCUAACGCGUUAAGUAGACCGCCUGGGGAGUACGGUCGCAAGAUUAAAACUCAAAUGAAUUGACGGGGGCCCGCACAAGCGGUGGAGCAUGUGGUUUAAUUCGAUGCAACGCGAAGAACCUUACCUACUCUUGACAUCCAGAGAACUUUCCAGAGAUGGAUUGGUGCCUUCGGGAACUCUGAGACAGGUGCUGCAUGGCUGUCGUCAGCUCGUGUUGUGAAAUGUUGGGUUAAGUCCCGCAACGAGCGCAACCCUUAUCCUUGUUUGCCAGCGAGUAAUGUCGGGAACUCCAGGGAGACUGCCGGUGAUAAACCGGAGGAAGGUGGGGACGACGUCAAGUCAUCAUGGCCCUUACGAGUAGGGCUACACACGUGCUACAAUGGCGCAUACAGAGGGCGGCCAACUUGCGAG